UACGUAGGGUGCAAGCGUUGUCCGGAAUUAUUGGGCGUAAAGAGCUUGUAGGCGGUUUGUCGCGUCUGCUGUGAAAUUUCGGGGCUCAACCUCGUACUCGCAGUGGUACGGGCAGACUAGAGUUGUGAGGGGAGACUGGAAUUCCUGGUGUAGCGGUGAAAUGCGCAGAUAUCAGGAGGAACACCGGUGGCGAAGGCGGGUCUCUGGGCCGAAACUGACGCUGAGGAGCGAAAGCGUGGGGAGCGAACAGG
rnacentral:rRNA from 1 species